rnacentral:rRNA from 1 species
AACGAACGCUGGCGGCAGGCUUAACACAUGCAAGUCGAACGCACUCUUCGGAGUGAGUGGCAGACGGGUGAGUAACACGUGGGAACCUACCCAAAGGUACGGAAUAACACAGGGAAACUUGUGCUAAUACCGUAUGUGCCCUUCGGGGGAAAGAUUUAUCGCCUUUGGAUGGGCCCGCGUCGGAUUAGCUAGUUGGUGGGGUAAUGGCCUACCAAGGCGACGAUCCGUAGCUGGUCUGAGAGGAUGAUCAGCCACACCGGGACUGAGACACGGCCCAGACUCCUACGGGAGGCAGCAGUGGGGAAUAUUGGACAAUGGGCGCAAGCCUGAUCCAGCCAUGCCGCGUGAGUGAUGAAGGCCUUAGGGUUGUAAAGCUCUUUCAGCUGGGAAGAUAAUGACGGUACCAGCAGAAGAAGCCCCGGCUAACUUCGUGCCAGCAGCCGCGGUAAUAC